UCCCUGUUACCAGGGCAGUCUGUUUAGAAAAAUCCAACUAAACAUAAGGGUUGCGCUCGUUGCGGGACUUAACCCAACAUCUCACGACACGAGCUGACGACGGCCAUGCAACACCUGUCACUGCGUUCCCGAAGGCACAGUCUCCUUUCGGAGUCCUUCGCAGGAUGUCAAACCUUGGUAAGGUUAUCGUUUACCAUCGAAUUAAACCACACGCUCCACCGCUUGUGCGGGUCCCCGUCAAUUCCUUUGAGUUUUAGCCUUGCGGCCGUACUCCCCAGGCGGGGCACUUAAUGCGUUAGCUACGGCACGGAACCCGUCGAUAGAGUCCCACACCUAGUGCCCAACGUUUACGGCGUGGACUAC
rnacentral:misc_RNA from 1 species